rnacentral:snoRNA from 1 species
GGAGUGUGCUCAUGGCAGGGGGCCUGAAGAAGUGGCUCCUGUGCAUACAACACACCCGACGGGAAUCUGGGUUCAUUGUGACAAGGGGCAUGAAACUUGGCCUUCCUACAAACAGAUACCCAACACCU